rnacentral:rRNA from 1 species
GUGGGGAAUAUUGGACAAUGGGGGGAACCCUGAUCCAGCCAUGCCGCGUGUGUGAAGAAGGCCUUUUGGUUGUAAAGCACUUUAAGCGAGGAGGAGGCUACCGAGAUUAAUACUCUUGGAUAGUGGACGUUACUCGCAGAAUAAGCACCGGCUAACUCUGUGCCAGCAGCCGCGGUAAUACAGAGGGUGCAAGUGUUAAUCGGAUUUACUGGGCGUAAAGCGCGCGUAGGUGGCCAAUUAAGUCAAAUGUGAAAUCCCCGAGCUUAACUUGGGAAGUGCAUUCGAUACUGGUUGGCUAGAGUAUGGGAGAGGAUGGUAGAAUUCCAGGUGUAGCGGUGAAAUGCGUAGAGAUCUGGAGGAAUACCGAUGGCGAAGGCAGCCAUCUGGCCUAAUACUGACACUGAGGUGCGAAAGCAUGGGGAGCAAACAGGAUUAGAUACCCGAGUAGUCC